UUGAACGCUGGCGGCAUGCCUAACACAUGCAAGUCGAACGCGAAAGGGGGCAACCCUGAGUAGAGUGGCGGACGGGUGCGUAACACGUAGGAAUCUACCCAGUAGCGGGGGACAACCCGGUGAAAACCGGGCUAAUACCGCAUACGCCCUACGGGGGAAAGCAGGGGAUCUUCGGACCUUGCACUAUUGGAUGAGCCUGCGUCGGAUUAGCUAGUUUGUAGGGUAAAGGCCUACCAAGGCAACGAUCCGUAGCUGGUCUGAGAGGACGACCAGCCACACUGGGACUGAGACACGGCCCAGACUCCUACGGGAGGCAACAGUGGGGAAUAUUGGACAAUGGGGGCAACCCUGAUCCAGCAAUGCCGCGUGUGUGAAGAAGGCCUUCGGGUUGUAAAGCACUUUCGUUGGGGAGGAAAAAGGUUGGGCUAACAUCCCGGCCCUUGACUGUACCCAAAGAAGAAGCACCGGCUAACUCUGU
rnacentral:rRNA from 1 species